ensembl:snRNA U4 U4 spliceosomal RNA
AUGCUUGUGAGAUUAUUUAUUAAAUAAUGCUGAGACGUGAUUAUUGCUGUUUGAAAACUUAACCGAAUACCCUGCCUGGAUGACUUGAAAUACAGUCAGCUGUGGCAAUUUUUGUUGGUCUCUGAAGAGA